GUUGGUGGGGUAAUGGCUCACCAAGGCUACGAUAUUUAGGUGGUCUGAGAGGUCGAUCGCCCUCACUGGGACUGAGACACUGCCCAGACUCCUACGGGAGGCUGCAGUGGGGAAUCUUUCACAAUGGGCGAAAGCCUGAUCCUGCGAUGCCGUGUGUGUGAAGAAGGCCUUAGGGUUGUAAAGUUCUUUCACUAGGGAAGAAGGGAAGGGAGCUAAUACCUCUCUGACUUGAUGGUACCUGGUAAAGAAGUGCCGGCUAACUCCGUGCCAGCAGCCUGCGGUAAUACGGAGGGUGCAAGCGUUAAUCGGAUUUACUGG
rnacentral:rRNA from 1 species